AUGGCUUCUGGCUGCCGCCGUUGUUUCUCUGCUCGGCGCGAUGCGGUGCUGGGGCCGGGCACCCUGCAAACCAGCACAUGGGUUGUCGCAUCAGCCGUCUGCAAAGAGAUGGACGGGGGCUUGUGCAAACCACUGCACCAGAAUCUGUGCAAACCCUUGCACCAAGGUCUUUGCAAACCAUUGCACCAGGGUCUGUGCAAACCCUUGCACCAGGGUCUGUGCAAACCAUUGCACUGGGGUUCGUGCAGACCCUUGCACCAGGGUCUGUGCAAAUGGUUGCACUGGGAUUCGUGCAAGCCAUUGCACCAGGCCUUGUGCAAACCACUGCACUGGGGUUCGUGCAAACCCUUGCACCAGGCCUCGUGCAAACCACUGCACUGGGGUUCGUGCAAACCCUUGCACCAGGGUCUGUGCAAACGCUUGCACCAGGGUUCGUGCAAACCCUUGCACCAGGGUCUGUGCAAUCCACUGCAUGAGGAUCUGUGCAAACCGUUGCACCAGGGCUCGUGCAAGGCGCUGCAGAGGGCCCGCAGCCAGGGCCCGACCCGGGCGGGGCCGUUGGUGGCGGCCCGGGGUCUCGAACCCGCGGCCUGUCGCGCUCCGACCUCACCGCCCACCCGCUCGUCACUUUCCGGAGUGCGCUCGGGCGUUUCCGCCGCGGGGCGGAGGCUCUCGGCAGUUUCCGUCCACGUUCGGCUUCGGCCGCCCCGCCCCGCCCCGCCCCUCGAGAGAACGGGGAGGCGGGGCAUCGCCACCGCCGGAUCCGAUUGGCUCUCGGCGGAGGUUGGUCACGCCCCCCGCGCGCGCGGGAGGCGGGAGAAGGCGGGACCCGCGCGCCCGCAUUGGCUGUUGGGUCCCCUCCCGCCCCGCGCACCCAGAGCCCCUCUCAUUGGUCAGAAAAGCUCGGCCCGUCCCCCGCCUCGCUUCCGAUUGGCUACAGCCGAAGGAAGGCGGGCUGAUCCCGGCCUCUCCUUCCUUCUCAUUGGCGGCGUCGGUCGGGGGGGCGGGAGCAAUGCGACGGCCCUGAGGCGCCCAUUGGCUGCCGGGACGGUGCCCGGGACCCGAUUGGCUGGCGCGGCCUGA
rnacentral:lncRNA from 1 species